AUCCUUCCGCAUUGGCCCCAGGGUUGCCGGGGCACCCCCGCGUGAGUAAUAAGGGUUUUCGGAUCGUAAAACUUGGUUUUUAGGGAAGAACAAGUAUCGAAGUAACUGCCGGUACCUUACCGGUACCUGACGAGAAAGCCACGGCUAACUCCGUGCCAGACGCCGCGGUAAUACGUAGGUGGCAAGCGUUGUCCGGAUUUAUUGGGCGUAAAGCGCGCGCAGGCGGUCUUUUAAGUCUGAUGUGAAAUCUUACAGCUUAACUGUAAGCGGUCAUUGGAAACUGGGAGACUUGAGUGCAGAAGAGGAGAGUGGAAUUCCAUGUGUAGCGGUGAAAUGCGUAGAGAUAUGGAGGAACACCAGUGGCGAAGGCGACUCUCUGGUCUGCAACUGACGCUGAGGCGCGAAAGCGUGGGGAUCAAACA
rnacentral:rRNA from 1 species